UACGUAGGGUGCAAGCGGUGUCCGGAAUUAUUGGGCGUAAAGAGCUCGUAGGCGGUUUGUCGCGUCUGCUGUGAAAACUCGGGGCUUAACCCCGGGCCUGCAGUGGGUACGGGCAGACUAGAGUGUGGUAGGGGAGACUGGAAUUCCUGGUGUAGCGGUGAAAUGCGCAGAUAUCAGGAGGAACACCGAUGGCGAAGGCAGGUCUCUGGGCCACUACUGACGCUGAGAAGCGAAAGCAUGGGGAGCGAACAGG
rnacentral:rRNA from 1 species